CCCACAUAGACAGACACACACACACACACACACACACACACACAGACAGACGGCCUGAUGAACGUCAAUUCCACGCAAAUGCUGAAAACUACUUAAAGCGAUUCAUUAUAACGUCCAUUUCUAGGCGACCGUGAAUGUUCAGAAGUUCCGUUAGAACGCUACAGUUACAUGAAAGAAAACAAGUUCGAUUGAACUCGCAGCUGCAGAGUUUGGAGUCCGGGCACCGUGUGUGUGUGUGUGUGUGUGUGUGUGUCGCGGAAUUUUCACAAAUUUUCAAAAUAAUAACCUAGAACGAUAAGUAAUUAAAUGGUUCUGAAUAACGUCAAGAGAUGUGCACAGCACAGAUGUUGCAGGACAUGGAUCAGCGGCUGCAGGAGGAAGGGUUGGGUGCCUCGGCCUCCAGCGAUGAGCGUCUGUCUCUGCUGUGGCAGCUUUACACGAAAAGUGAAAGUACCGUGAGAUCCCUCAACCAGCAGAUACAAGAUCUGCAGAAGGAACGUGUUGCUGAGAUUGAAAAGGUGAGUACGUCUAAAGAAAAAACCUGGAGACUCAUCACUUGUUUGGUUACAAGGAUCUAUACAAGUGACGUUUGGUCUGUGGAACACAAAAGUAGAUGUUUUUGAUAGAUAAGCAAUGCAAGGCAUUGAAGAAUAUACACAAAAGGGAAACUGCAGUCUUGUCCUUCUUCGAUCUCAGGUUCAGCAAUAUGUCAAUCACAUUAAGAGUCUCACAAAGACCCGAGACUCUGUGGCUUUACAUCUCGAGCAAGAAAACAAAACGUUCCAUGCAACUCUGGAUGACAUCCAUCGGCAACAAGGUGCAUUUCUGUCUGAUCUCUCCUCCAUCAGACUCGCUCUUCACCACGCAUGACAUUUGAAUUUAUGCUUACAGAAGCACAGAGGAGUGAGAUCUCCGAGAUGUUACUUCAGGAAGGUCUGGCUGAUAUUAUUCCCAUCAGCUUGAGUGAACAGGUGGCUUACCUCCUCGCAGACAGAGCUUCGCUGCUGGAGAAAAUACAAAGUCAGGAGAAUGUGGAUGUGAAGACCACUGAGGAUCCUGAUGUCCAAAAGGAGGAUUGUAGAGGGAAUGUGGUCAAAGUGGCACCACCACACAUUCAGAGCCCUUGGAAGAGGCUCCUAGGACUCAGAAAGGCUGCUCAGAGUAAACCGAAAUUACUGCCUGCAGAUGACCUGCAGUGCAGUAGUGAUGACAAGUUGAAGGGACGGACGUUGCAGGAACUGGAGCGAGAUGUAGAAGAGGCGUCUGCUCGACUCACCAUGGCCCACAAAGAGAUCCGCAGGCUCACGGAUGAGCUGGAGUCGGCUCACCUGACACAAAAGGCUUAUGAACCAGAGCUGCAAGAAGCUCAAAUGGAAGUUGCACACCUGCGUCACGAAGUGGAGAAACUGAAAUGCUGUGAAGUUGCUGAAUUACGAAAAAUAAAAGAGAUUAACGAGAAACAGGAAGAAGAGCUGUGCUACCUUAGGGAGACUGUGAAGAGGCUACAGGCACAGGGUGUACAGUUGCUCGAAAUGACAGAAGCCCCUAACAGAACCGUCACUCCAUCCAAAGACAAGAAGCCACAGGAAGAGGAUAUCCAUAAACGGUUCGGCCACAGUUUGACUGCAUACAGUAUAUCAGAUAAACAUACGCUGA
ensembl:lncRNA cingulin-like